rnacentral:rRNA from 1 species
GAUCCUGGCUCAGAUUGAACGCUGGCGGCAUGCUUUACACAUGCAAGUCGAACGGCAGCGGGGGCUUCGGCCUGCCGGCGAGUGGCGAACGGGUGAGUAAUACAUCGGAACGUGUCCUUAAGUGGGGAAUAACGCAUCGAAAGAUGUGCUAAUACCGCAUAUCUCUGAGGAGAAAAGCAGGGGAUCGCAAGACCUUGCGCUAAAGGAGCGGCCGAUGUCUGAUUAGCUAGUUGGUGGGGUAAAGGCUUACCAAGGCAACGAUCAGUAGUUGGUCUGAGAGGACGGCCAACCACACUGGGACUGAGACACGGCCCAGACUCCUACGGGAGGCAGCAGUGGGGAAUUUUGGACAAUGGGCGAAAGCCUGAUCCAGCCAUGCCGCGUGAGUGAAGAAGGCCUUCGGGUUGUAAAGCUCUUUUAGUCGGAAAGAAAGAGUUGCAAUGAAUAAUUGUGAUUUAUGACGGUACCGACAGAAAAAGCACCGGCUAACUAC